rnacentral:rRNA from 1 species
AAUCGAACUCGGAGAUAGCUGGUUCUCCCCGAAAUAGCUUUAGGGCUAGCCUCGAUUUAGAUUACCGGGGGUAGAGCACUGAAUGGGCUAGGGGGCCACAAAGCUUACCGAACCCUAUCAAACUUCGAAUACCGGAUAAUUGAUGAUCGGGAGUCAGACAGUGUGAGAUAAGUUUCAUUGUCGAAAGGGAAACAGCCCAGAUCUACGACUAAGGUCCCAAAGUUCAAGUUAAGUGGAAAAGGAUGUGCAAUUGCGUAGACAACCAGGAUGUUGGCUUAGUAGCAGCCAUUCAUUCAAAGAGUGCGUAAUAGCUCACUGGUCGAGUGAUUGUGCGCCGAAAAUGUAACGGGGCUAAACUUGACACCGAAGUCUGGGCAGAAGGAAACUUCUGGGUAGGGGAGCAACGUGUACGGGCAGAAGCAGAAGCGGAAGCGACUGUGGACUGUACAGGAGAGAGAAUGCCGGCAUGAGUAGCGAGAGCAAAGUGAGAAUCUUUGCCGUCGAAAGCCUAAGGUUUCCUGAGGAAGGCUCGUCCUCUCAGGGUAAGUCGGGACCUAAGCCGAGGACAACAGUCGUAGGCGAUGGACAAUCGGUUAAUAUUCCGAUACCGCCGAGCAACCGGAUGCAGUGACACAGAAGGAUAGGCAGAGCGUGGCGAUGGUAGACCACGUCCAAGCAGUGAGGCUGUUGUGUAGUGAAGUACGCACAACGUAAGGCUGGGCUGUGAUGGGGAACGAUUACGAUCGGUAAGCUGCUGAAUUCACGCUGGCGAGAAAAGCUGCUACGAAGCGAAGGCGCCCGUACCGCAAACCGACACAGGUAGGCGAGGAGAGAAUCCUAAGACGAGCGGGAGAACCCUUGUUAAGGAACUCGGCAAAAUGACUCCGUAACUUAGGGAGAAGGAGUGCCCAGGAAUGGGCCGCAGAGAAUAGACCCAAGCGACUGUUUACCAAAAACACAGGUCUGUGCGAAGUAGAGAUACGACGUAUACGGGCUGACACCUGCCCAGUGCCGGAAGGUUAAGGGGAAAUGUUAGGGCAACCGAAGCAUGGAACUUAAGCCCCGGUGAACGGCGGCCGUAACUAUAACGGUCCUAAGGUAGCGAAAUUCCUUGUCGGGUAAGUUCCGACCCGCACGAAUGGUGUAACGAUUUGGGUACUGUCUCAACAAGGGACCCGGCGAAAUUGUAGUAUGUGUGAAGAUGCACAUUACCCGCGAUAGGACGGAAAGACCCCGUAGAGCUUUACUGUAGUUUAACAUUGGAUUCCGGUAACAUAUGCACAGGAUAGGUGGGAGGCGGAGAAGCAGUGAUUUCGGUUGCUGCAGAGCCGACGUUGGGAUACCACUCUUGUGUUACUGGGGUUCUAACCUGUGGCCGUGAUCCGGCACAGGAACAGUGUUAGAUGGGCAGUUUGACUGGGGCGGUCGCCUCCAAAAGAGUAACGGAGGCGUCCAAAGGUUCCCUCAGAAUGGUUGGAAACCAUUCGAAGAGUACAAAGGCAGAAGGGAGCCUGACUGCGAGACCGACAGGUCGAGCAGGGACGAAAGUCGGGCUUAGUGAUCCGGCGGUAUAGAGUGGAAUUGCCGUCGCUCAACGGAUAAAAGCUACCUCGGGGAUAACAGGCUUAUCUCCCCCAAGAGUCCACAUCGACGGGGAGGUUUGGCACCUCGAUGUCGGCUCGUCGCAUCCUGGGGCUGGAUUAGGUCCCAAGGGUUUGGCUGUUCGCCAAUUAAAGCGGCACGCGAGCUGGGUUCAGAACGUCGUGAGACAGUUCGGUCCCUAUCCAUCGUGGGCGCAGGAGAUUUGAGAAGAGCUGUCCUCAGUACGAGAGGACCGGGAUGGACGCACCAAGGGUGUAUCAGUUGUCACGCCAGUGGCACAGCUGGGUAGCCAAGUGCGGAUCGGAUAAACGCUGAAGGCAUCUAAGCGUGAAGCCGACUUCAAGAUAAGAUCUCCCAUCCGCAAGGAGUAAGGCCCCAUGUAGACCACAUGGUUGAUAGGUCGCAGGUGGAAGUGCAGUAAUGUACGCAGCUGAGCGAUACUAAUAGGCCGAGGGCUUGAUCA